rnacentral:rRNA from 1 species
CGGGUGAGUAACAUAUCGGAACGUACCAUAGAGUGGGGGACAACGAGUCGAAAGAUGCGGUAAUACCGCAUACGCUAAGGGAAAGCGGCGCUCUGUGAGCGGCCGAUAUCUGAUUAGCUAGUUGGUGGGGUAAAGGCCUACCAAGGCGACGAUCAGUAGCUGGUCUGAGAGGACGACCAGCCACGGUGGGACUGAGAUUCGGCCCAGACUCCUACGGGAGGCAGCAGUGGGGAAUUUUGGACAAUGGGGGCAACCCUGAUCCAGCAAUGCCGCGUGAGUGAAGAAGGCCUACGGGUUGUAAAGCUCUUAUGUCAGGAACGAAUGACGGUACCUGAAGAAUAAGCACCGGCUAACUACGUGCCAGCAGCCGCGGUAAUACGUAGGGUGCGAC